UUUUUAGUCAUCUUUAAACCAAAAUAUUUUCCAUCACCAAAGUGUUUUAACAUUAAUUUCAUAAAUAUUCCUUUUUACAGUCCCUGUGGGUACGAUAACUCGACAUUUACUUGUCACUUUUUUACUUGUUGGGAUUGUGUACACUUGCACAUUUUCGUCGUUCCAUGUUUUUGGCGCCAUUGCCGGGGACUGUUUUAAAAAAAGCCAUUAUUUGUGAAUCUGUUUUUACAUUUUGGUUUAUUUAUUUUCCUGUUUAAAUCUUUACUUAAACUUUCUGUGAUUA
rnacentral:lncRNA from 1 species